AUUGAACGCUGGCGGCAUGCCUUACACAUGCAAGUCGAACGGCAGCACGGGAGCAAUCCUGGUGGCGAGUGGCGAACGGGUGAGUAAUAUAUCGGAACGUGCCCAGUCGUGGGGGAUAACGUAGCGAAAGCUACGCUAAUACCGCAUACGAUCUAUGGAUGAAAGCGGGGGAUCGCAAGUACCUCGCGCGAUUGGAGCGGCCGAUAUCAGAUUAGGUAGUUGGUGAGGUAAAGGCUCACCAAGCCGACGAUCUGUAGCUGGUCUGAGAGGACGACCAGCCACACUGGGACUGAGACACGGCCCAGACUCCUACGGGAGGCAGCAGUGGGGAAUUUUGGACAAUGGGCGCAAGCCUGAUCCAGCAAUGCCGCGUGCAGGAUGAA
rnacentral:rRNA from 1 species